rnacentral:rRNA from 1 species
UACGAAGGGGGCUAGCGUUGCUCGGAAUCACUGGGCGUAAAGGGUGCGUAGGCGGGUCUUUUAAGUCAGGGGUGAAAUCCUGGAGCUCAACUCCAGAACUGCCUUUGAUACUGAAGAUCUUGAGUUCGGGAGAGGUGAGUGGAACUGCGAGUGUAGAGGUGAAAUUCGUAGAUAUUAGGAAGAACACCAGUGGCGAAGGCGCUCACUGGCCCGGUACUGACGCUGAGGCGCGAAGGCCAGGGGGAGCAAACGGG